GAGGAGCGAGGGAGCCGGGACCCAGAGGGGAAUGAGUCCGGCGGUGGGGGCGGCGGUGGAGGCCGCAGGGUGGCGCGACCACGACGACUGUGACCAGGGCGUGAGGCGUGGGCGGCCUCGGGCUCUGGGUCCCAGCCCGACUGAGAGCUGGUUGCGCGCGAGGAGCCGGCGUCAGGCGGCAGAGCCCGAGGCCCAGGCCGCCCAGGGAGUCCGGAUGGGGACGAGAGGACAGGGCUGAGGGACCCCAAGGAACCCAUGGGCUCGGAGAGCUCUGGAGUUGAGGCCUUGGUCUGAGGCAGGAGUCCCGAGGUCACAGAGCAGAGGAGGCGCGGCCGCGUGCCAGUCGGUUGUCCAGGCGAGGGUCUGGCGACCAUCAUGCCCCUGUGUCAGAUGAGUGAGCUCUGCAAGGCCGAGGAGGAGCCCAGACAGGCCCCGCUGCCAUGGGAUGUACCGCUGUGGGAGGCGGAG